CAUGGAGGCGGCGGCCAUGGUGGUGGUCAUGGAGGCGGCGGCCAUGGUGGUGGUCAUGGAGGUGGCGGCCAUGGAGGAGGCCACGGAGGAGGUGGUCACGGAGGAGGUGGCCAUGGAGGAGGUGGUCAUGGAGGAGGCGGACACCAUGGUUGAAAGAUCCAAGGAUCAUAAUAUUCACAUCAAAUGCUGGACAUUUGAUAUCACAUUUGUGGAUUUCACUUACCAUGCUGCAUCCAACCAAUCUGUAUAUUCCUCAACAAGUACAAAUAAAGCUGUGAUUUAUACUGUAA